rnacentral:rRNA from 1 species
GAUGAACGCUGGCGGCGUGCCUAAUACAUGCAAGUCGAGCGAACAGACGAGGAGCUUGCUCCUCUGACGUUAGCGGCGGACGGGUGAGUAACACGUGGAUAACCCACCUAUAAGACUGGGAUAACUUCGGGAAACCGGCGCUAAUACCGGAUAAUAUAUUGAACCGCAUGGUUCAAUAGUGAAAGACGGUUUUGCUGUCACUUAUAGAUGGAUCCGCGCUGCAUUAGCUAGUUGGUAAGGUAACGGCUUACCAAGGCAACGAUGCGUAGCCGACCUGAGAGGGUGAUAGGCCACACUGGAACUGAGACACGGUCCAGACUCCUACGGGAGGCAGCAGUAGGGAAUCUUCCGCAAUGGGCGAGAGCCUGACGGAGCAACGCCGCGUGAGUGAUGAAGGUCUUCGGAUCGUAAAACUCUGUUAUUAGGGAAGAACAAAUGUGUAAGUAACUAUGCACGUCUUGACGGUACCUAAUCAGAAAGCCACGGCUAACUACGUG